rnacentral:tRNA from 2 species
GGGCUUGUAGCACAGUGGUAGCGCGCACGCUUUGCAUGCGUGAGGUCUUGGGUUCGAUCCCCAACUGGUCCA